rnacentral:rRNA from 1 species
UAAAACGUAGGAGGCGAGCGUUAUCCGGAUUUACUGGGCGUAAAGCGCGUGCAGGCGGAUUGGAGAGUUGGAUGUGAAAGCUCCCGGCUUAACUGGGAGAGGUCGUUCAAUACUUCCAGUCUUGAGUGCAGUAGAGGGAAGUGGAAUUCCGGGUGUAGUGGUGAAAUGCGUAGAUAUCCGGAGGAACACCAGUGGCGAAAGCGGCUUCCUGGACUGUAACUGACGCUCAGACGCGAAAGCUAGGGUAGCAAACGGG